AGCAAUUUUCCUUUUCAGGCUCAAGCAACUAUCCUGGAUUACAUGCACCAACAUGAAUUAUUAAAACAAUUUGCGACUGGGGAGUUGGUGUGGUACCUGGCUUCUGCUUGGCUUCUUAUGCCAGUGUAUGUUUUAUACAUACUUGUAACAGAAAUCUUCUGCACCCGCAAGCAGAAGAAAUCCCCACGAAGUGAAAAGGCCAACCAUGGCCAUCGGAGACACAAGCGCCGUCAUGCUGAGAAAUAGAGACCAUGGACAAACACUUUGUGUUAGAUAGUGGCCUGCUACAGUGUAGUUG